UUUUAUGAGUAUAGUUUCACGGGCUAUUCCAACACAUAUAAAAUAUUUAUCAAAUAUAAAACUAAUUGAACAAAACAUAAAACAUACUUUAAGUUAGGCUUGAGCGUUCAGGUACCCGUUGCGAUACGGGUUGGAUAUUUGGAAUUUUGUUUCUAAUUUAUAUCACAUCCUAGAUCUCAUUCUGGUAAAUCUGUAAGUAUAAAUCGGGUUCGAAUAUAACACGUCGAUUUUGCUUCUAAAUUGUAUCACAUUUAAAAUUCAUAAAGUAAUCAUAUAUUAUCCCAGUUCAGGUUAUAUGGGUUCGGUUAUAUCCGAAGUUAAAUCCAAAAUUAAAAAGUAAAACAUAAGAAAUAAAUUUAUUUAUAUAGGAUUGGAUAUUUAAGGUACUUAUUGAAGAUUUAAAUACUUAUUUUUAGAUAUAAUUUCAAAAUAAAUAUAUAAUUGAAUAUUUUAAGUACAUAUUUAUGUUUCAUAUAUUUAUAUUUGUGCUUAAUUUCGACUUUCAUAUCAGUUUUAUGGAUUUUUUGGAUUUUCAGCUUUUCGGGUUGUCCGUCGGGUUCGACUGAUAAUACUUCGGUUCGGAUAUGUGGUGUACCACACUACAGAACCUAUUCUGGGAUUUAUUAUAUUUCGCACUGGAUAUGGAUCAGAUACUUUUUGUUUGAGUUUGGUACGGACUUUGGAUUACAGAUUUUAUACACAGAUUUAUUUUAAAUGAAAAGAAAAUACGAUUAUAUUAAAAAAAUUACCAAAAAUUAUCGUGCGCUCCGGUGAAAAUCUAGUUUUUAUUUAAAAUGAUGAGGCUCUUGUAUACAUUUAUAGACAGAGACUUGAAGAGAGAGAAGAGAGAGAAGAGAGAGAAAGUAGAUCUCAGUGUUGGGUUCGACGUACGGCCGGCGCGUGAGCGUGCGUGCCGCGCCGGAGCCCGUUGUCCUUCAGCAUAAAUUGUCCGGUCUUUGUCUCCUCCCCGUCGCCUCCGGCGUCCGCCUUGUCUAAGUUCUGGCCAACCACCACCCGUGGUGUCUCUGUUCUUGGAGUGAAUACGCAGUUGCUUGGAGGUUAUGGCGUGGUGAAGACGCUCGUAGUGUGGGUUUUGAUUCCGGGAGAUGGAGGCUUCCACAGCUCCGUCGCCGCCGGCUUUUGUUUCCAGGAGGUGGUAGUUUCUUCAGCUUCGCCGUCGUCGGCUCUAGUCUCCGAGGGGUGAAGGCUUCAACAGCUUUGCGUUGCUGCCUUUAGGUAUUUCGUUGCGGUUCUUAGAGUUUGGGUUUCGAUUAUGGAUCGAGUGGGUCUUGUUUGUCUCUCUAGUGUUGGAGCUUUGGCCUUGUCGGAUGAGAUCUCGAAGAGCGAUGAAGCUCUCCGACGGGUAGACAGAGUUGGAAGAAUAUAGAUGGUUUCGGCGGAGGCUCUGCGGGUUCUGAGCUCCGACGAAAUGAAGUUGCGGUGAUGUGAUUCUGGCGGUGAGUCGAGGCGGGUGCGACGCGCGUCGUUUUGAUGGCAUAGAUGCUCCCACGUGUCCAGCAACCAUCUUUCUUGACGCGUGACUCGGCCGACGUCGCACGAGAUUUUAAUGUUUGGGCCGACGGCCCGGUUAAUGGGUCCGUUUGUUGCCUUUUGGCUUUUGGGCCUCCGACCUUUUGAUUAUGUAGUGGGCCUUGAGCUGUGUACUCUGGGCUUGACCCGUUUUAUCAAUUAAAAAAAAACUAUUGACGGAAAAAAAAAAUACAUUUAUAGACAGAGAAAGAUGCAUAUUAGACCACCAACAAAAAACUUAUCGAUCAUGAAGACCGGACUUAGCAUAACCAUCAUACUGUUAUCAUACACCGUGGCUACGGUGGCUGGUACGGACUUCCAAGCCGGAAGUCAGACUUGGGAAGCGGGCCUAGGAUCCAAGGAGCUAGUGCGUUGAACAUACGCGCCACCUACCAUUUCUACAACCCUGAGCAGAAUAACUGGGAUCUGAUGGCCGUGAGUGCUUAUUGCUCCACGUGGGAUGCUGAUAAACCAUACGCGUGGCGGUGUAGGUAUGGCUGGACCGCCUUCUGAGGACCGGUUGGUCCUCAGGGUCGUGAUUCUUGCGGCAAUGCUUGAGGGUGAGGAACGUUAUGACGAAUGCAGUAGUAACGGUGAGAAUAGUGGACCUUUUCAAAAUAUUGGAUAACGAUGGUGUUGGCUAUGAACAAGGUCAACUCAUUGUUGACUAUGAAUUUGUUGACUGUGACGAUGAACUAAUUAAUCAGCCUGGUCAUUCCAAAAACAUCCUUGUUUCGGCCAUUGAUCGCGUUUGAUAUUAAUCGUUUUAGAGGUCAAGAUCUAUCUACACUUUUUAAUAAAAAGGCCUAUGUUGUGUUGUUCUUGGUGGUUUUCGAGAUACACAAUCCAAGACCAUAUAAAAAUAUCUUUGGUAUAUACAGUUUAUGAACAAGAAAGGCUUUAUUGUUUCUUAUCUUUUGUUGCCUUUACACAAAGUAUAUACACAACCAUAAAGUGAUUCUCUUACUUCCUAUCCUUUAAAAGAAAAUCUUACAAUCACAUAUACACUUAUCAAUAUGUCUGCAUCACAUAACAUGCAACUGCUUGUGCCCAAUGUCUCAAUCUCUGCUUCACUUGUUGCGGAUUGUCCCCUACCAAAAACAUCCACCAAAACAACACUCAGUUUCAUGACUUUGAUCACAAUGUUUUGCUUUAUUCUUGGACAAAACGAUCUUUAAUGAAUCUGAAUCAGUUUUCUUAGGGCUACAAGGUAUACUCAUCGAGAAAACUGAUGCAGAUGCGCUGCUGCUACGGCUGCUGCUAGGUGAAGCCAGAGGUGAGAGGUGACGAUUCACUGCAAAGUAAAGAUCAAGAGCUGGUAAUGUAUUGCAAAGCUUUUGUCCUGCUUCUUCGUUGAAACCAAAACCUAGCUCAAUGGAUCCUUUAAGCUCGUUUAAAUCCUCAUCGGUUAGUUUCUUCUGUUCACUAAGAUUGUCUGAAACGCGCAUCUUCUUCUCUUGAAUCAUUAUCAUCUGACGUUUUCUUCUUUCCCAAGCAAUGUCUCGUGGUGACUCACACAUAGAUAAAGUUGUUUCGUUAACCGUUGUUUUGGCUUCUGUGAGGCUACAGGCGUCGUUGCUGCCGUUCUGACCUCACGAAGCGCCGAUGUUGAGACUGACAAUGUAAGGUUUUCUCUUAUUCUCACCAUUUUUCAUAUAUAUCACUUGACGUGUGAUACGAAGAUGUGGCUUGUGUCUGCAAACUAGAAUUCUUCUUUCUUGGUUCUUGUGGGUUUUGUUUAAUGUAUGUUCUUUGUGAGAUGGCCGCGUGCGAACAGGUUACGCGGCCAACAAAUUAAGAGGUUAAAGUGGGUCGGGUUGAUCAGAUAUGUCUUUCUUUUUUAUGCCCUUUUUUUUGUUAGGUUUUGCCCAACCCGACCAAAUAAACUUUGAGGAGACUCGAAGUCGAGGUGCUUUAAUGGAGGAAAGCAAGUUAGUUUCCACCAUUGAUCUAUGCAAUGGUUAUAGUCGAAAAGCUGUUUUUCUCCAUUGUUUUAAUUUAAGGACUUCUUUGUUUAGAUCAAUAAUCAUACCAAGAAAAGAGUUUUAGACA